GUCUUUUGUAGUUGUUGUUGUUGUUGUUGUUGCUAUUUCUUGGGCCGCUCCCACGGCAUAUGGAAGUUCCCAGGCUAGGGGUUGAAUUGGAGCUGUAGCCACCGGCCUAUGCCAGAGCCACAGCAACGCGGGAUCCGAGCCGAGUCUGCAACCUACACCACAGCUCACGGCAACGCCGGAUCGUUAACCCACUGAGCAAGGGCAGGGACCGAACUCGCAACCUCAUGGUUCCUAGUCAGAUUCGUUAACCACUGCGCCACGAUGGGAACUCCUCCCCUGUAUUUUCUUAAUAGCAGGAUGUCACUGACUCAACUUCGAAGGAGGGCAAGAGGCCUGUUAUUACUCCUGUGCUGUUUGUAGAAGUAACUGCAGCAAUAAUGACCAGAGACCCUCAACUACCUUGUCCCUUAGGAUCAGGACCCACAGGGUACAGGGCAUACUGGUUCUCUGCUCUCUCUGUCUAGGCCACUGGCCAUGCAUUGACUGGCUGGUGGGUUCAUGCAUUCCUUCAUGCAUGCAUUUAUUGACUGAUGGUUUUAAUAAAAAGGGGAGAUGUGGAUGCAGAGGCGGACUCGCACAGAGGGAAGACGAUGUGAAGACACCCAGGGAAAGAGGCCCAUCGACAAGCCGAGUAAUGCCUGAGGCUGCCAGGAGCCAGGUCUGGAACAGACCCUUUCCUAGUGCCUGCACCGGGAGCAUGACUGCCAGUCUCCAAAAUGGGGAGACAGUAAGUUGCUGCUGUUUUAAGCCACCCAGUCUGUGGUAUUUAGUUAAUGACAGCCCUAGGAAACCGGUUCACCACCCAAAGCAGGGAUCUUUUCUUGCCAGGAGACCCCGGCCUGGAGACCAGGUGGUGAGGGCUGACCUGGCUGCUCUUCCAGCUGUGGAAACCUGGGCCCACCUUUCAUGAGGCAAGAGCACAGUGGCUUGGGAGGAAAACGCCUCCCUUUCAGCCAACCUGAUGUGUGAACGCGUGGCAUUUACACUCGAGAGAAAUUUGAGGGGCUGCUGUGCUAUGGACAGGAAUCGGUCGGAGAGCGCACCCCGGAGUUCUCGCGGCUGGGGCUGUUGGCGAAUUCUCGUCUGCAUGCAGCCCUUCAGGCUGCCCGCCGCCCUGAAAGGCACAUGCUCUGAACUCCAUCUUCACCUGUGACCUGUGACGUGUGUCCUGCCUUUUGGUUCGGCUCUCAGAUGCCACCAUCAGCUCUGAGGCUUUCUUUCCGGGGCAAGCAGGCAGGUAGGUGUCGUGAUAUUGUGGCAGAUUAACGACGGCCACAUGUCCUUUGGCGUUUCUCCCACUGCGAGGUGGGGUUCACGAACCCAUGCCCCCUUGAAUGAGGGCUGCUCUGAUGCGUCCAAUAGAAUGCAGUAGAAGUGACACUAGGACAGUUCUGAACCGAGGGCUCUAAGAGGAUGUGCGGUUUCUCCUUCCUUCCCCUUGGGGCCCUGCGCUACCAAGUUGGAAGUCUGACUACCCUGAGGCUGCCACGCUGUGAGGAACCCACACUAUCAUGUGGAGAGACACUCAGCCAGCCCCUGGCUGUUCCAGCCCCAUCAUCUCAAGUCACCUCACCAGAUGACAUGGAGUAAGAUAAGCCGUAACUGCUACACUCUGUCUGAACUUCGAACUCACAGAACAGUGAGAUACAAUAGAUUUCUCUUUGAAACGCCUGAGUUUUGGUAUAUUUUUAAGGCAGCAAUCGUGACCUGGAACAGGGGCAGACCAAGAUAUCAACCAAGAGAGUGAGAAGAUGCCCGCUAUCUGGACUUGGAGACCAGCAAGUAAUGUUGAGAAUGAAUGAAUGACAAGGAGAAGGACGGAGGCUGAGGUGGGGUCCACACCUGAUGGGCCACCUGGCUGGCUCUGUCGGUGGGAUGACCAACACAAGCUCUCCUACCCGCCCUCUGCAGCCCCAACAGCCCCCAGGGCAGACAGCAAAUGGGAUUGAAGGCAAGAGAAUCUCUUGCUAUUACACAACACUGCUACCGAGAGCUCUGAGCUGGCCACUGUGCUAGGAGCUUCAUGUGUUAUUGCUAAACUUCACAAACUCUUGAAAGUAGGUGUUUUACAAAUACGGAAACUGUAGCUCGGAUGCUCAAGAAUAGCUCAGAUAACAGGCUCCGGUACCAGAGCUAGUCCAAGGUAGGCUGGGGUUCAAAUCCAGGCUCUGAGGCUUGGCUCUCUGAUGGAACCCAAGGGAGCCACGUUGGGGUGACCUGACACAGGCGAUGGUGGGUGGGGAGGGAGCGGGAGGGAGGCCUUUAAAACAGAGUGGAGUCUAUUUAUUCCAAGGUACUGCCUGAAAUGACCGCCACAUCAUCCAUUUGGCCAACACAGAAGAGAGCUCAACCAACCUAGAAAUCUUGAGCAGGCUCUCGGAGUUCCGUGGCAGCGAUGGCCGUGAAAACGUUCUGCAAAGAGUUUUCUGCAGGACUGAGAGUCUGACGCUCUAUAAGCUCUAACAUCUGCUGAUUUGGUACGUGGAUAUAUUUAGUGGUGGAACAGUUUUUCCUCCAGUUUUGUAACACUUUAAAAAAAAAUCCUGCUUGUCCUAUUUUUUUAUUCUUUUUUCCUUUCUCUCUCUUUCUUUCUCUUUUUUCUUUCAUGAACUCACAAGGGAUGUUGCCAUUCUUUCCAUAGCAACAUACUAGGAGACUGUUUUGCUGGGAGAAAUCUAAUCAGAACCUGGGAGGAGGGAGAAGAAAAUGCUGGGACUGGGGCGGGGAAGAAAUUGCUAGAAUUCCAACACCCCCAAUGAAGGCAGAAAAGACCUUGAGCCACUUUGGUACUAAGAGCACAAGUAUCACCCAGCUCCUGCUCCAACCCUACAUGGAGGGGAGGCCUCCCACACCCGGUGGGGUGGGGUGGGGUGGGGGCGGGUUCUGAAGGCCCCUGUGUAUUUGUUCUCAAUGGAUCAUGAUUCUGGCAGUUGUACUGUUCUUUCAGAAAUGCUUCCUUUAUACAAUUCUUUCUUUUUUCCUUCUGAUGAUGGUAGGGAGGCAGCUUCAACACUUUUUGUUAAUAUCAACUCAUCAAUUCAUCCCCCCCCCCUUUUUUUGGCCGUGCCCACAGCAUGCAGAAAUUCCUGGGCCAGGGAUUGAACCAGAGCCACAGCAGUGUCAGCACCCAGUCCUUAACCACUAGGCCACCAGGGAACUCCUCAUCUCUUUUUACUACUUCUUCUUUUUUUUUUUUUUUUAGGGCUGCACCUAUGGCAUAUGCAAGUUCCUGGGCUAGGAGUGGAACCGGAGAUACAGCUGCUGGCCAUAGCCACAGCAAUGCUGGAUCCAAGAUGUAUCUGCAACCUACACCACAGCUCACGGCAAUGCUGGAUCCUUAACCCACUGAGCGAGGCCAGGGAUUGAACCCCCGUCCUCAUGGAUACUAGUUGGGUUCGUAAUGCUCUGAGCCACAAUGGGAACUCCACAUCUCUCCUUUUAAAAGGAAGGCGGAUCUAGACAUUAGGGGAGGGGUAGAGGAGGGAGUGGGAAAACCAGCCCUGGCACAGAGCGCCGGGGUCCCCGCUUUCACACAGACCAUCUCCUUCUAUCCUCACCAUGGCCCAGUGUAGGGGGGACACUCUUAUCCUUCUUGGGGAAGCUCUGGAUCUGAAGCCAGGAAUCUGAAGGUGCCCUAAGGAAGGGCUCUGAGGGCACAGAGCUGGAUGCAAAUGUUGCUGUCAUAUACUGCGGUCUGGUACUGUCCCGGGUGCCUGCACAGAGCUCCGCCACCUCGGCCUGAUGGCAGAGAAGCCGGUGCCUCUUAUCACGGGUGACGAGGGUUAAGCAGUUCCACUCCACCCCUGCUCUUUCCCACACGACCUGCUGCCUCUCAUUUCUAUUCUCUGAGAAGCUGCUGUGGUGAGCGGAGGAGCACGUAGGAGGGCGAGGGCCUGGGAGUCAUUAAAAAAUAAUACUUUUGAAGAAUAUAUAAUGAUAUUGAUGUGGGAACAUACUCAUAAAAUAAGUAAAAAAAAAAAAAAAAAGAAGCUACAAU
rnacentral:lncRNA from 1 species